GACGAACGCUGGCGGCGUGCUUAACACAUGCAAGUCGAACGGGCCUUGUCCCCUUUUUUUUUGGGGGUGGGGUUAGUGGCGAACGGGUGAGUAACACGUGAGUAACCUGCCCCUCACUUCUGGAUAACCGCUUGAAAGGGUGGCUAAUACGGGGUGUUCUGGCCUGCUCGCAUGGGUGGGUUUGGAAAGAUUCGACCGGUUUUGGUUGUUUUGGUGGGGGAUGGGCUCGCGGCCUAUCAGCUUGUUGGUGGGGGUAUGGCCUGCCAAGGCUUUGACGGGUAGCCGGCCUGAGAGGGUGGGCGGUCACACUGGGAUUGGCACACGGCCCAGAGUCCUACGGGAGGCAGCAGUGGGGAAUACUGCACAAUGGGCGCAAGCCUGAUGCAGCGACGCCGCGUGAGGGAUGGAGGCCUUCGGGUUGUGAACCUCUUUCGCCAGUGAAGAAGGUCCUGCUCUUUGUGGUGGGGUUGACGGUAGCGGGGUUAAUGAAGCGCCGGCUAACUACGUG
rnacentral:rRNA from 1 species